UUUACUGCAGAAUUUAGGUAUGGCUUAGAGGAACAAGCACAGGCAAUCCAGCUGCCAAAGUUUCUGGCAAUCCCUCUUUCUAAGCCUUAUUUUUCUUAGUUGUAAAGUAAGAAGACCGACUGGAUAAUUUUAGGUUACUGGGACAUCUCGUUCAGACUUUUAAAACAUCAAAAGGCAGACUGGGCCAAAAAAAAAAAAAAAAUUGAAAGGAUAUUAUAUCCCAGGGAAUUAGCUAUCUAUAUUCAAAACAUAUAUUUCAGCUUUGUUUUUUUUACCUAUGUCCUACAAGAAGGAUUCACCUUUUUGGAAAAGAAAGCAAGUCCCCUUCCCCUAAAAAAAGAAAAAAUAAAAAUAAAAAAGGAAAACAAAAAGCCCUAGGAUGAAAAAUCAUCCCAAAUUGGAUUAAGCUCAAAGAGCAAAACCUUAACUCAGAAGUACCA
rnacentral:lncRNA from 10 species